AACCAGAGGCGGUCCUGCUGCAGCCACAGCUCUUCCAGCUGCCUGACAAUGUCCUCUCAUUUAGUAGAGCAGCCGCCGCCCCCACACAACAACAACUGUGAGGAAGGCGAACAGCCUUUGCCCCCGCCAGCUGGCCUCAACAGUUCCUGGGUGAAGCUACCCACGAACAGCAGCAAUGGCAAUGAUAAUGGCAAUGAGAAAAAUGGGGAGCUAGAACAUGUACCUUCCUCAUCCUCUAUCCACAAUGGAGACAUGGAGAGGAUUCUUUUGAUUGCACAACAUGAAUCAGGACAGAGUAGUUCAAGAGCCAGCUCUCACUGUGACAGCGCUUCCCCACAAGAAGAUGGGCAGAUUAUGUUUGAUGAGGACAUGCACACCAGCAGGGACCAUAGCCCUCAGUCAGAAGAAGAAGUUCCAGAAGGAGAGAAAGAAGUUGAUGCUUCGGAAAAAAGCGUCGACUGGGUGUCCGACUGGUCCAAUAGGCCUGAAAACAUUCCACCUAAGGAGCUCCACUUCAGACACCCCAAAAGCUCUGUCUCUUUAAGCAUGAGGAAAAGUGGGGCCAUGAAGAAAGCGGGUAUUUUCUCCGCAGAAUUCCUUAAGGUGUUCAUUCCGUCUCUCUUCCUCUCUCAUGUUUUGGUUUUGGGCCUAGGCAUCUGUACUGGAAAGUGACUGAGCACGCCUUCUGCCAGCACCUACUGAAGGGAAGAACAGCCCCGGAGAAGUGGAAAAGCGUGUGACCUGUGAAGUGGUGUACUGUCACAGUAGUUUAUUUGAACUUUACACCAUUGUAAGCAUGACCCAGCCUACCACCCUGUUUUUACAUAUCCAAGUUCCAGUAACUCUCAAACCCAGUAUUUUAUUCAAACUCUGUUGAGGCAUUUUACUAACCUCAUUCCCUUUUUGGCCUGUAAGACACUUUAGAAUUUCCUAACUGAGUUUACUGUUAUUUAGAAAUUUGCAAGGGCUUCUUUUGCGCAAAUGCCACCAGCAGAUUAUAAUUUUGUCAACAAUGCUAUCGUCUCCUUUUAGUGCCACCAGACUUAGACCUGCAUCAUUCAUGGUAUAAAUUUUACUCUUGCAAGAUAACUACCAUCUCUCUCUUCAAAUGAGAUCAGGUUAGCAAAUGAUAGAACAGCUUUGUUGUUUUGUUUUGUUUUUUCAAGGCAAAGCAAACUUCCCUAAGCUUGAAUUUAUAGUUAUUUAAAAAGAAAACAAGCAAAAAAAAAAAAA